CCGGAGAAUGUUAUCACGGGAGACACACGGCGGGUGCUAACGUCCGUCGUGAAGAGGGAAACAACCCAGACCGCCAGCUAAGGUCCCAAAGUCAUGGUUAAGUGGGAAACGAUGUGGGAAGGCCCAGACAGCCAGGAUGUUGGCUUAGAAGCAGCCAUCAUUUAAAGAAAGCGUAAUAGCUCACUGGUCGAGUCGGCCUGCGCGGAAGAUGUAACGGGGCUAAACCAUGCACCGAAGCUGCGGCAGCGAUGCUUAUGCGUUGUUGGGUAGGGGAGCGUUCUGUAAGCCUGCGAAGGUGUGCUGUGAGGCAUGCUGGAGGUAUCAGAAGUGCGAAUGCUGACAUAAGUAACGAUAAAGCGGGUGAAAAGCCCGCUCGCCGGAAGACCAAGGGUUCCUGUCCAACGUUAAUCGGGGCAGGGUGAGUCGACCCCUAAGGCGAGGCCGAAAGGCGUAGUCGAUGGGAAACAGGUUAAUAUUCCUGUACUUGGUGUUACUGCGAAGGGGGGACGGAGAAGGCUAUGUUGGCCGGGCGACGGUUGUCCCGGUUUAAGCGUGUAGGCUGGUUUUCCAGGCAAAUCCGGAAAAUCAAGGCUGAGGCGUGAUGACGAGGCACUACGGUGCUGAAGCAACAAAUGCCCUGCUUCCAGGAAAAGCCUCUAAGCAUCAGGUAACAUCAAAUCGUACCCCAAACCGACACAGGUGGUCAGGUAGAGAAUACCAAGGCGCUUGAGAGAACUCGGGUGAAGGAACUAGGCAAAAUGGUGCCGUAACUUCGGGAGAAGGCACGCUGAUAUGUAGGUGAAGUCCCUUGCGGAUGGAGCUGAAAUCAGUCGAAGAUACCAGCUGGCUGCAACUGUUUAUUAAAAACACAGCACUGUGCAAACACGAAAGUGGACGUAUACGGUGUGACGCCUGCCCGGUGCCGGAAGGUUAAUUGAUGGGGUCAGCGCAAGCGAAGCUCUUGAUCGAAGCCCCGGUAAACGGCGGCCGUAACUAUAACGGUCCUAAGGUAGCGAAAUUCCUUGUCGGGUAAGUUCCGACCUGCACGAAUGGCGUAAUGAUGGCCAGGCUGUCUCCACCCGAGACUCAGUGAAAUUGAACUCGCUGUGAAGAUGCAGUGUACCCGCGGCAAGACGGAAAGACCCCGUGAACCUUUACUAUAGCUUGACACUGAACAUUGAGCCUUGAUGUGUAGGAUAGGUGGGAGGCUUUGAAGUGUGGACGCCAGUCUGCAUGGAGCCGGCCUUGAAAUACCACCCUUUAAUGUUUGAUGUUCUAACGUGGACCCGUGAUCCGGGUUGCGGACAGUGUCUGGUGGGUAGUUUGACUGGGGCGGUCUCCUCCUAAAGAGUAACGGAGGAGCACGAAGGUUGGCUAAUCCUGGUCGGACAUCAGGAGGUUAGUGCAAUGGCAUAAGCCAGCUUGACUGCGAGCGUGACGGCGCGAGCAGGUGCGAAAGCAGGUCAUAGUGAUCCGGUGGUUCUGAAUGGAAGGGCCAUCGCUCAACGGAUAAAAGGUACUCCGGGGAUAACAGGCUGAUACCGCCCAAGAGUUCAUAUCGACGGCGGUGUUUGGCACCUCGAUGUCGGCUCAUCACAUCCUGGGGCUGAAGUAGGUCCCAAGGGUAUGGCUGUUCGCCAUUUAAAGUGGUACGCGAGCUGGGUUUAGAACGUCGUGAGACAGUUCGGUCCCUAUCUGCCGUGGGCGCUGGAGAACUGAGGGGGGCUGCUCCUAGUACGAGAGGACCGGAGUGGACGCAUCACUGGUGUUCGGGUUGUCAUGCCAAUGGCACUGCCCGGUAGCUAAAUGCGGAAGAGAUAAGUGCUGAAAGCAUCUAAGCACGAAACUUGCCCCGAGAUGAGUUCUCCCUGACCCUUUAAGGGUCCUGAAGGAACGUUGAAGACGACGACGUUGAUAGGCCGGGUGUGUAAGCGCAGCGAUGCGUUGAGCUAACCGGUACUAAUGAACCGUGAGG
rnacentral:rRNA from 1 species